rnacentral:rRNA from 1 species
ACUCCUACGGGAGGCAGCAGUGGGGAAUAUUGCACAAUGGGGAAAGCCCAUCGAUGCAGCCAUGCCGCGUGUGUGAAGAAGGCCUUCGGGUUGGUAAAGACACUUUCAGUAGGGAGGAAGGUAGUGUAGUUAACACCUGCAUUAUUUGACGUUACCUACAGAAGAAGCACCGGCUAACUCCGUGCCAGCAGCCGCGGUAAUACGGAGGGUGCGAGCGUUAAUCGGAAUUACUGGGCGUAAAGCGCAUGCAGGCGGCCUGUUAAGUCAGAUGUGAAAGCCCGGGGCUUAACCUCGGAAUUGCAUUUGAAACUGGCAGGCUAGAGUCUUGUAGAGGGGGUG